GACAGAGGGUGCAAACGUUGCUCGGAAUCACUGGGCGUAAAGAGCGUGUAGGCGGCCACUUAAGUCCUGCGUGAAAUCCUGCGGCUCAACCGCAGGCGGUCGUGGGAAACUGGGUGGCUAGAGUGCGGGAGAGGAGAGUGGAAUUCCUGGUGUAGCGGUGGAAUGCGCAGAUAUCGGGAGGAACACCAGUGGCGAAGGCGGCUACCUGGCACAUAACUGACGCUGAGACGCGAAAGCGUGGGGAGUGAACCGG
rnacentral:rRNA from 1 species